UACAGAGGGGGCCAGCGUUAUUCGGAAUUAUUGGGCGUAAAGGGCGCGUAGGCGGCCAUGCGUGUCUUUCGUGAAAUCCCUCGGCUUAACUGAGGACGUGCGGAAGAAACUGCCUGGCUAGAGUCCGGAAGAGGAGAGUGGAAUUCCUGGUGUAGCGGUGAAAUGCGCAGAUAUCAGGAAGAACACCCGUGGCUAAGGCGCCACUCUGGGCCGGUACUGACGCUGAGGAGCGAAAGCGUGGGUAGCAAACAGG
rnacentral:rRNA from 1 species